AGAGUUAAAUAGUACGUGAAAUUGCCAAAAGGGAAACGUUUGAAACCAGUUUUGUUGGUGGAAUCCCAACUGGUCUAACGAUCAGUAUAUGUUUUCAUCAACAGGUCAACAUCGGUUUCGUCUUGAAGUAAAAAACCAGGUGGAAGGUAGCUGCUCUCUUCGGAGUGUGGUGUUAUAGACAUCUGGCGAUGCUUUGAGCGAGACCGAGGAAUGCAGCAAAUACCCUUUGGGCUUGUCACCUGGUCCCUGGAAGUAGUUCCGUUGAUGGCAAUAUUCUUGACAUUGAUGGAAUAAUAUGACCAUUGGAUUAGAGUGAUCUAAAAUUUGCUAAGGAUGCUGACGAAAUGGCUUUAAACGACC
rnacentral:rRNA from 1 species